GCGGGAAUAGCUCAGUUGGUAGAGCAUCAGCUUCCCAAGCUGAGGGUCGCCGGUUCGAACCCGGUUUCCCGCUCCA
rnacentral:tRNA from 5 species